CCCACUCAUCAUUAAAACCUGGGGAGAAAUCACACAGGCCAAAUUAGCAUAGGCUGUCAUAUGAAUGAUUGACUCACCAGCAUCACCUGAUAUGGCAGUAGCUGAGUAUAAAAAAGACAUUUUUUGAAAUACCCAAAUGGCAUUACCUCCUCCUUGUACUUCACCUUCACCAGAAAGGAUCCAAGUAAAUUAUUUCAACAGACUGAAAGGUCAAAUGCAGAUAAGUGAACAAGAAGCAAAAACAAUUUUCAUGUUUUGUAAACAUGCCAAAAUGCCUUCAGUGAACACUGGACCUCUGCAUAGACCCUAUUUCCUUUUGCAACUCCAUUUGUAUUUAGCACAUGAAGAUCAUCUACACCAUUCUAUCCAAUACUAGAACAGUGUGGGAUGCAAGGGAAAUUUCUAAGAUGACCAUGCUACUCUGGAUCUUCCUCAUUCCCAGAUAGUCUCCACAUCCAGCAUGGAGCCCAAAGUGGGGCUUGAACCCAUGACCCUGCGAUUAAGACCUGAGCUGAGAUCAAGAGUCAGAUGCCUAACUGAAUCAGCUACUCACGCACCCCUCAUCAGAGCUGAAUCUUAUGCCCCACCUAGGUCAUGUGUGAUCAGAAAGACACGAACUUUUCAUAUGGACUCAAUUGUUGAGCAGAGAAUGUGUCUGAAAGCUCUAAAGAAUUGCAUUUGGGCUUGUCUGGAACCUUGAAGCAGGACUAUGACAACAAUGAAUACUGGGACCGUUUCACAAUGCAGAAAGUAUCUACAUGUAGAGUAGAUACUCUGAACUUCUGGAUCUUGGAGUUUUUUUUCUAAUAGGCGUUAUGGCAGCUUUUGGAAGAAACUGCCCUAAAUGAAAAAAGAAAAGAGAGACUUGGAAACCUCCAGAAUGCCCCCAAAAGACUUCCUUUGCAUAGAAUCGUUCAUCAAUUUCAACAGUAACAGAAAGUAAUGGAAACGUGAUCUGAAUGGGCAGCGGAAACCUGAGUAGUAACUUAAAACUCCAUUGAAGUUGUUCAUCAGAUAUAGGACCCAGCUUGUUCUUUGUAAAAUCAAUAUUUAAGUGUUUUGGACUUUUUUUUUUGCCAGAAUUAAAACAUAUCUUCCCAAAGGAAUGGUGGUGGUAAAAUAGAAGUCCUAUGUUAAGAGCACUGGACUUUCAUCGGGCAAUUUGUGGCAUGAGUUUUUAUAAACGCUACAAAAUAAGACCCGAUGUAUUCACAAAUAUGCAGAUCUUUACUUAGAACUGUUUGGGAAACUAUUCUAUCACAAA